GAUCCCUUGCUUCGCGCGCGAGUUUCCCGAUAGGGUUUUUUUUGCGGAGUUUGUGUCUUUUUAGCUUUGGGUUCGAUGUUUUUGUUCGAUUAAUCGUUUUGUAGGGAUAAAAAAAAGCCUCAUAACAAUAGGAACGUGAAAAAAAAAUUGCUAACCGAAAUGAAUCCGCCCAAAAAAUUAAAAACCUACGCGCGAGUUUGACUCGAAAGUAUGGGGUGUGACAACUUUCUUUAUUGACACGACAGCAAUGUUGGGUCUUGUAUGUUGACAUAUUGAUUCUUGAAUGUGGAGGGAACUCUUAUGAUGCAGUGUCAUUGGCUGAGAAAUCGGCUCUUUUUUUGCAACACAAAUUCCAUCUAUUAAAAUAGCAACCAUGGACGGAUAUCAACCUGAUGUGGAGCUCUCAGAUGAUCUUUAUGAUACCAAGAGACUAAACACAGAGAACAUUCCUUGUGUACUGACUUUGAUGAAGAUUGGAAACCAUUUCCUAGUAGUUCCAACACCAAAAUGAAAAUGCUGCAGCUUUUCUGGUAUUAAAAUGAUUACUGCUGUUAGGAAAAUUGACAGUUGUAAGACAUCAGCUAUGAUAUUCUUAAAGAUGGAACUUUUAGAGAAAUAACAUUUAAGCGAUUAUAUAAAUCUUCCAAGAGUUCACCUUUACUUAUCUCUUCGUAACCUAGGUUGACUAUAUAAUUUCUUUACCAUCGCCCCUUGUCUGAAUUAAAGUGCUUUUGGUAUAAAAAAGAAACGGCAAAUAAAGCGGCAAUUCAAGCAUU